rnacentral:misc_RNA from 1 species
UGCGUUAAACAUCUUAAUAGUAAUGCAUAUCUUUAUAACCACGCGGACGUAGUCGCGGGCAACAGUUAGUGUAUUAUAAAACAAAGUCCCCAAAAGUGUAUGUGAUCGAUUCACUCAAAAUCUACUGAACGGAUUUUCAUGCGGUUUCAACAUUGGAGAGAGGGCUCCACCAUUGGCAACAGGAAGGUUUACGGAACGGCUAAGCCGAUUUUGAUGAGAGUUUCACUGGAAGUUUGCCG